GGACCCCCAAACUAAAGUCAUGAAGUUUGUUCAGGGUUAAAAGCAAAGAGUAUGACAGUUUAGAAAUGAGGAGACAGAUAUAAAUCACAAAGACAGCAGAGCCCAGGGUAGUCUUUGAACUCUGGUGAAAAAAAAAUCCUAUAUGGGAUGAAAGUAGAGGAAAAAAUUUCCAAAACCCUAUAAAUUAGGCAGUCAUAGAAUUGUCUUUCUAACUUCUAAAUAUUCAAUGUACAGAAAUCUACCCUAGCCUUUGACUACUGAAAUCAUCCAAGGUACUUUUUGUGCACAGUAAUCAGCAUGGGCCACCACCCAAUGGUGGAGCAGACAGUAUCAUCUUAGUGGAUAGCUUGACUGCCAUUCACUUUUUCUGUGGCUGCAAAGGCAAAGUCUGAAACCAACCAGGGACCAAGACACUUUGGGCUUUUUUGGUUGUCUUUUUUUCAAGUAUUUAUUUUGCAAAUGGCUGCAGAAGUGCUUAGAUGCGUUAUAACAAUUAGAAAUAUAUUACUGAUUUUGAUUUGGCAAAAUACAAGAUACAAUUGAUUGACAUGGAAGAAGUGCAGCCAAAGAAAGACCUCCUGGGAUCUUUUAGAGAAAUAAAAAAGGACCCUGUAUAAACAUCUGGUGACAUCAGUUUUCACUGGGAUUUUUUUGGUAUGCCAUAAAUUGCAUAUUGUCACCUAAAAAUUCACUUCCCACUCAUGCACAAGCAGUUAGGUCCUUGAUCUGAUCAUUAUUAAUUUCCCCUCUGUGAUCAAACCACUCAGUGAGUGCUUUCUGAUUAAAUUUAAUCUCCACCCAUUUCCUCUCCCUUUGCCUACAAUCUCUUUUUAUCUGCUUUUGUUCAACUGCCUUACAACGUCUGUGGCAAAAUGCCCGUCCUUUCACAACACUUGAUCCUAAGCUGAAUAGAGGUCAUGUUUGUUGCAGUUUGGUAGAAGGGCAGCGCUAACUGUAAACCUCUUCCUAAUCUUUGUUCUGACUGGGAGCACUACUGUAAUCUGUUCCCAGGACUCCUCUGCCCGUUCUGUGCAAAGCCGGUCUUCCCUGGUACUCGCAACCUUCAAAGCUAUGUAGAGAAAUUAGUCUGAGUAGAUGACGUGAUAUUUGUUAUAUUAAUAAUUUACAUCCUUAACAGUCUUAGGUGAAAAAAUCUACGUGGGAUUGUAUGUUCCUUGUUGCACCUGCAGCUUCACACUCCCUUUGCUUUUGGGAAGGACCGUAUACAGCUGUGGAGGAAAGGAUCAAUGGUAGUCUGUCUCCUAACUGAGUUCAGUCUUUUUGUUUGCCUCAUAUGUAUUUUAGCAUAUAACUUCUGGAUUUCUUUCCUAGAAUAACUCAGUAUUUUGUCUUAAUUCUUUGUGAUUAUUCUGUUUUGUCACACCGCGCUCAUUAUGUCACUCUUCUAUAGCGUAUUACAAGCCCAAGAUAUGGCUCAUUACUAUUGUUAGCAACAACUGUGUUUCUUAAAGUGUUAACUGCCCUUGGCUUCCUUUCCUGAUGGUUAACAGACUAGCAGGUCAUUAACUACUGGAAAUGACCAAUUUUUCAGGGAUUAUGUUUUAACCUUUUGAAUUCACACAGUUCACACACGCACCACUGUUUCUAAUGAGCAUUUUUUUCCCUGCUGAUCAUUCUUACUUGUUUCAUAAGAUAUUCCUGCAUGUUUCAUACCUUUGUCAUGUACUUUUUAGGCAGGAGUUUAGUAAAUUGUUUUGAUGAAUCCACAGGUAACAAAAAACAAAUUACAAACAUCAUUCAAUAUGCAUGAUAUAUGCUUCUGUUGCAUUUAUCAUGCAUAUUGAAUAUGGGUGCAGCUGAAUUAAGCUCUAAACUGUUGGAGGCAGGUCCACAUGAGAGAAGUUACAAAUCAUUUAAUUUGUCAGUGUUUGGAGGAGAGACAGUGCCACAAGCUGGUUUUCCAGGGGAAGAAAUCUGGCCAUAAAAUGAGUCAAAACUACAUCUGCAAACUUUCUCCCUUUGCCUACGGUCUCUUGCUCGUCUGAGGAGAAGAGUCCAGAAACAGCUUUGUAGGUGCUGCUAUUCUCCCCACACUGCUACCUACAAGAGAGCUAGUUCAGAGAGCUGCAUAUGACCUCAGACAUCACAAUCACCUUGUGCCCCUUCAGAAAUACUCAACACAGUCAAAUUUAUAUGCUAUGCAGAUAAAUUAUUAUUUCCCUGUCUGUGACAUUCACAAAGGCGGUCCCCAUUAGCAUCACUGUAAUCUUUUAUGAGCUAAUUGCAAGUUUCAUGUUAUUUGGAGCUCUUCUUAGCCUUUCAGGUUCUGGAAUGAAGGGACUGCAUGAGUAUUUCAGCUUUCAUUUUUAAAAUUAAAUUUAGCCAUAAUGACGAGGAAGAAAAAGUUGAAAAUGUAAAGCAAGUGCAUCUUAAAGGUUCAGAAACCAGAAGGCAAAGAAAGAGAACCCAACAUGUUUUGCUUUUUAAACAGUCUCAUGAUUUUUAAAGCCAUCUCCAUGAAUUUUGGAGGCCUGGCUCAUGAUUUUCAAAUAUUUGGACUUGGCAAUUCCGAAUUAUGUAUUGGCUGUAUUCAGUUGCCACAUCAUGCAUAAAGUGCUAGGUACACUUUUCCCCCAUUUCCAUUCAGGCUGUUUUCUACUUGUCACUAACAGCAGCAGUGUUUAAUAGCCUGGAACAAAGAGGUCAAUAAAAUGGAUGUGUAUAUGCAUAGCUGAGAAUGUACUGUGGUAUCUAACAGUAAGAUUAGCAAUUAUAAAGUGUUUAGGUCAAAUGUGAGCUAAAAAUAGUUGUGUUCAGUAGGGAGAAACACAGUGAAUUUAGAGAAAUUUGUAACCAGGCAGGAAAUUACCAAAGAACUAGAAAAAAAAUUAAUUGUUCAUUUAUUUUGAUUUUGUAGCAUCUUUCCCUUGUAUAAGGAAUACUUCCACAAGCUAGUUCUUUAAUAUAAUUGGGGAUUAAUGCUGUGGUACUGAGGCAUCUGCAGAGUUAUCUAAAUCAUGCACCUAAAUUCUCACUAAGUUUUAAGUCCUAAACUGAUACCACGGGCCAGCCCAGUGGUUCUCAGCCCUUUUAGAUGUAAGGCAUCCCUCCUUGGACUUGAGUCAUUCCUCCUUAAAGGCAAGGCACCCCAUAGAAAAUGCCAAAUCUCAGUUUUCACUGUUUGUUUUUAUUACAGAAAAAUAAUAUAGAGUAAUUCUUUGGUUGCAAAGAACUCAGGAAGACCACAACACGUCAGAAUGACACUAUUCAUUCCUAUUUCAAACCUCUGGGUUUAUCUUGUGAAUUAUGCUUGCACACCUUACAGUGAUAACAUUGUGUUGUACCCUGGGAUGGUAGUUGAAAGGAUCAAUGGUAGUUGAACUGGUCUCAAAGCACCCCAGAGUGUCAUGGCACCCUGGUUGGGAAUUAUUCUGCUGACUUAUACAGGAUGUACUCCCCAGAAGGUUGAAUCCUUGCCUCUGUGCGGAAGAGAAUUAAAGAAUCACUGUGAAGAAGGGGCAUUACUCUAGAGACUGAAAGUAAGAGCAAGAAGUCGAGGGGCGAUAAUCUUGGGUUCUGGUCCUGUUCCCAAGACUGUUUCUACGCUUAUAUUGAACUUCUGUUAUAUAAAAUACACAAAGUCGUUGACUCAUCCUGCUCAAAACUGGAUACAAUUUCACAUCCAUGCUUUUUUCUAUAAAUUUGUGCUAAAAUACAGAUUUAUAACAAGAUCCUGUGGGAAAGUCACAUGGCUUUAAUUUUCACGCCAACCUUUUUACACAGUUCUAAUGAAGACCCCUGGAAGAAUCAUACUACAGAGACCCUCCAUUAAAAUAUGCUACUUAUCUAAAAGCCUAGAUCUCAAGAUGAGAGACACUAAACUAUGCAUAAAGAUCGCUGCGACUAUAAAAAAGCAAGCACAGACUAAGUACAGAAUAGAGUCAAAUGCUAUAAAAGUUCAGGGGAUCUGAAUCCAUUGGAAUAAUAUCCGGAACCACAGUUUAAAUGGGUUUGAGAUUUUUUUUUCUGAUCCAACACACAAAUACAUUCUUGCAGUAUGAGAAUUUUGAAUGAUAGCUUGUGGAUUAGUUUUCGCCUACUGCUUUCCCUACGUUACUUCAUAUUUUAUUCACAGGACAAUCCUGCUGAAAGAUUCAUGGAAUCCAUGUUAUUAUAAGCUUGUUAGGACAAAAACCUAUACUCUUUACUUGUUCUGAAGUAUUAAGUAAGAUGGGCUGAUAAACUAUUCUUAAAAAAAACAUUUCUGACAUGCACAGAAUAUGCUGCUUUGAUUUGGCUAGCACAGUCUUGUCAGCUGUGCUACACAGUUGACAGCUUCCUGUGACAGCAGGAAAAUAUUUAGUAUACCCUCCGGCAGUUAUUGAUUUGUAGUUUCCUCAAUUAGUGAUAAUGAAAAUAUGUUGAGUUGAUUUUGCCUCUCUUCUGAGUACCUAUUUUAGUUUACUUUUUUCUCUUCCAGAGGAAUCUCAAAGAAGUGUCUUGUCUUUGUUCAUUAAAGUGCUAAUCGAUUAAAUAUACCAGCAGAGAAUAUUUUGAAAGCAAUACUUUUUAGAAACCUCACAUGUAUCUCUCCUUCUUCCAUGACCCCUUAGUAUCAAGUCAAGAGACAGAAAUAAAAUUAAAUAUGCAAUGUAAAUGACCAUGGGUGGAUCUAGGGAUUUGAAAAGGGAGCGUUGUAGUUGUUAGGGUGCAUCAUCACAUAUAACACAAUGUGCAUUUUUAUUAAGUUAUAAAAUUAAAUCAUAUAUUAUGCAUUAAAAAUCACGACAAACUAUGCAAAAAUUAUCACAAUAUGUUGUUUCAUUAGUCCUGCAGUCACUGGAAUUCAAUGGACAUCUCUUUUUCAUAUUCAUAAAACAAAACUUAGGCAUCUUGACAGUGCAUCCAAUUCCUUACUGAAAGUUAUUUCCACACCAGAGUUAAUGGCUCUAGUUAAAACAGUCAUCAGGAGCAUGAAAUACGAGCUACAUUACCAGGGACUAACAGACAGCAGAACUGCAGAAGAAGGGGUAGCUCAAUUAGCUGAACAUCAAGACCAUUAAAAAAGGAGAAAGGGUCAUUAACACCUGUGCAAUUAAGAGUUUAGAAAGAACCAUGUAGAUUAUAAUAACCAUGUGGUCAAUCGAUUUGGGUCACUGCUCCCUGAAUGGAAAUGCUGCUGGUACUGUCAGGUGGUUGAUUGUAAACUUCUCAAAGAGGUGGUAUAAUUGUAUCACUUCACCCUUCCCCCCUUUCCCCUAUGCUUCUCACCCCUGCCAAGGAUCUGCUCCUGCAUUUGACUAUCUGGGGUAUCAGCAAAACAUCCAUGGGUAUUAUCUUCCCUGUAUCUAUCUUUACUUUUUCAAUUGUAAGUUCUCUGAGGCAAGAAUUCUCUAGUAUUCUGUAUUUGUACAGGGCCAGGCACAAAAAGACCCUGAUUUAGUUUUUCCCUAGGUAACAAUAAAAACAUGAUUAUUAACAAGACCAAGGAGGAUUGUUUCCUAAUUUAAAUAGAUUCUAGCCUCAGCCACACCAAUGUAAACCUUUUGAUUGACAUAAAUUUAAAUUUGGCCACAAUACGACACAAAACCCACCAGAAAUAGUACAACAGGGACAUAUAUAGAAUGUGAACUAAAUUCUUUCCUCAUUUACAGUCAAGCACCCAGCUUGCAUUGAAGUCCUUGAGUCAAAACCUGCUCAGAGGUUUAAUUUCCUGUAAAAGAACACUGGAUUUGGCCCCAUGGAAGUAAGAGAAAAUGGCUGGUGAUUCAUACAGCUCUGUUUCCACCUUAAUUCAGCAGAAAACUUAAAUAUUUGGACCAUAUUUCAGUCUAGGUAGAGGUAUUUAUUUUUCUUGAUUGUGUUGCAUAUUCCUAUUGGGUUAGAGCUAAUAAAAGACUAAUCAAUUAUUUAAAGCAUGCACCUAAAUUCUCAUGAUGUUUUAAGUCCAGGACUGAGAUUCAGGAAACCCAUGCUCAACUACCUGCUAAAAUUCAACAGAUCAAAUACCAAGGAACUAAAAGAGUGGAACAUAGAGCUACAAAGGACAUACCUGAGCCAUUAUUACAAUAUGAAGAAAGCAACUAGUGAAGGACAUUCUUCAAAAUCAGUCUUAAGAAGGAUUCAAAUACAAGAGAUACAUGGAAAACAUAUUUCAUGGGCUUGAAGGCUCCUGAAGAAUGCAAACUUAAUCUGAGUAUGUAGUAUUAUUUGCUGCAUGUCACCAUGUGUUUGGAUGCUGUCAGUGAGUACUGCCCCAUAACCACUUUAAUUAAACUGGAAAAAAGUAGUUUAUAUUUAAUUUAAAGCCUGACAUUACAACAUAUUUUCACAUAACAGAGAGCCCAUUGAAAUCAAUCAGUGACCUACUCUUGACUUCAGUGGUUUUGGAUCAGGCACUGUAUGCAUACAGCUUCUGAAGGUGGUUUUGGACUGUGGCAAAAACGGUAUUAAAGUGGUAUGAAACU